GUCCAAAUGACGAGUUCCAAACAGGGCGGAAUGUGCAUCCUGGAU
rnacentral:hammerhead_ribozyme from 1 species